UGGGCCUAAAAAGUUGUUAAAAUAUAUAUAAUUAUAAUUAGUAAAUACAUUAUAUAAAGAAAUGUUUUGAGGCAAAAGAAAAAAAUACCAAAUGGUAACAAAAGUACCUCUUCUUGAGACCGUUGGUACUCUGCUUACGAUGGUGCAGACCCGACACCGCAGGGUGCGACCUUCUCCAAUCACACGUGCCCACACCGCAGGGUCAUCUGGAUACUCACUAAAGUUCGGCCCAUAAACAUCUUCCAUCGCCCUCAAAUAACCCCCCUACAAUUUAUCAAAACAAUGUGAUUGUAACUGCAAUAGAUACGCUAAGGUUGGGUAAAAAUGUCAUAAAGGUCUUAAUAAGGGGAUAUAUGGAAACAUUCGUAGUUAAUAUAUUAUGAUAUAUGUGUAGGAGGAAAGGGGAUAGGAAAAAUUACCGGAAAACCAUUGCACUACAAAGGAAUUGUAUUCCAUAUUAUCCAUAAAGGCUUCUUGGCUGAAGGAGGUGACCUCCUUAGGAAAAUAGAUGGCACAGGUGGGGAAAGCAUCUAUGGAAAGUAUUUCAAAGGUACAACAAUUCUAAGAAUAAUUCAAG